rnacentral:rRNA from 1 species
CCUACGGGGGGCUGCAGUGGGGAAUAUUGGACAAUGGGCGAAAGCCUGAUCCAGCCAUGCCGCGUGUGUGAAGAAGGCCUUCGGGUUGUAAAGCACUUUCAGUGGGGAAGAAAGCCUUGGGGCUAAUACCCUCGAGGAAGGACAUCACCCACAGAAGAAGCACCGGCUAACUCCGUGCCAGCAGCCGCGGUAAUACGGAGGGUGCGAGCGUUAAUCGGAAUUACUGGGCGUAAAGCGCGCGUAGGCGGUCUGAUAAGCCGGUUGUGAAAGCCCCGGGCUCAACCUGGGAACGGCAUCCGGAACUGUCAGGCUAGAGUGCUGGAGAGGAAGGUAGAAUUCCCGGUGUAGCGGUGAAAUGCGUAGAGAUCGGGAGGAAUACCAGUGGCGAAGGCGGCCUUCUGGACUGACACUGACGCUGAGGUGCGAAAGCGUGGGUAGCAAACAGGAUUACAUACCCGUGUAGUC